rnacentral:rRNA from 1 species
GGCGAAACUGCGAAUGGCUCAUUAUAUAAGUUAUCGUUUAUUUGAUAGCACCUUACUACUUGGAUAACCGUGGUAAUUCUAGAGCUAAUACAUGCUAAAAAUCCCGACUCCGGAAGGGAUGUAUUUAUUAGAUUAAAAACCAAUGCCCUCUGGGCUCUCUGGUGAUUCAUGAUAACUUCUCGAAUCGCAUGGCCUUGCGCCGGCGAUGGUUCAUUCAAAUUUCUUCCCUAUCAACUUUCGAUGUUUGGGUAGUGGCCAAACAUGGUUGCAACGGGUAACGGAGGGUUAGGGCUCGACCCCGGAGAAGGAGCCUGAGAAACGGCUACUACAUCCAAGGAAGGCAGCAGGCGCGCAAAUUACCCAAUCCCGACACGGGGAGGUAGUGACAAUAAAUACUGAUACAGGGCUCUUUUGGGUCUUGUAAUUGGAAUGAGUACAAUUUAAAUCCCUUAACGAGGAACAAUUGGAGGGCAAGUCUGGUGCCAGCAGCCGCGGUAAUUCCAGCUCCAAUAGCGUAUAUUAAAGUUGUUGUGGUUAAAAAGCUCGUAGUUGAACCUUGGGCCUGGCUGGCCGGUCCGCCUCACCGCGUGCACUGGUCCGGCCGGGCCUUUCCCUCUGUGGAACCCCAUGCCCUUCACUGGGUGUGGCGGGGAAACAGGACUUUUACUUUGAAAAAAUUAGAGUGCUCCAGGCAGGCCUAUGCUCGAAUACAUUAGCAUGGAAUAAUGAAAUAGGACGUGCGGUUCUAUUUUGUUGGUUUCUAGGACCGCCGUAAUGAUUAAUAGGGACAGUCGGGGGCAUCAGUAUUCAAUUGUCAGAGGUGAAAUUCUUGGAUUUAUUGAAGACUAACUACUGCGAAAGCAUUUGCCAAGGAUGUUUUCAUUAAUCAGGAACGAAAGUUAGGGGAUCGAAGACGAUCAGAUACCGUCGUAGUCUUAACCAUAAACUAUGCCGACUAGGGAUCGGACGAUGUUAUUUUUUGACUCGUUCGGCACCUUACGAGAAAUCAAAGUGC